GGGUGGGCACUCUAAGGAGACUGCCGGUGACAAACCGGAGGAAGGUGGGGAUGACGUCAAGUCGUCAUGGCCCUUACGGCCAGGGCUACACACGUGCUACAAUGGUCGGUACAAAGGGUUGCCAAGCCGCGAGGUGGAGCUAAUCCCAUAAAACGGAUCGUAGUCCGGAUCGCAGUCUGCAACUCGACUGCGUGAAGUCGGAAUCGCUAGUAAUCGUGAAUCAGAAUGUCAAAAUGAAUACGUUCCCGGGCCUUGUACACACCGCCUCUUUCUCCAUGGGAGUGGGUUGCUCCAGAA
rnacentral:rRNA from 1 species